AACGAUAACGGCGUCGAGCGGCGGACGGGUGAGUAAUGCCUGGGAAAUUGCCCUGAUGUGGGGGAUAACCAUUGGAAACGAUGGCUAAUACCGCAUAAUAGCUUCGGCUCAAAGAGGGGGACCUUCGGGCCUCUCGCGUCAGGAUAUGCCCAGGUGGGAUUAGCUAGUUGGUGAGGUAAGGGCUCACCAAGGCGACGAUCCCUAGCUGGUCUGAGAGGAUGAUCAGCCACACUGGAACUGAGACACGGUCCAGACUCCUACGGGAGGCAGCAGUGGGGAAUAUUGCACAAUGGGCGCAAGCCUGAUGCAGCCAUGCCGCGUGUAUGAAGAAGGCCUUCGGGUUGUAAAGUACUUUCAGCAGUGAGGAAGGCUGGGUAUCGUUAAUAGCGUGAUCAUUUGACGUUAGCUACAGAAGAAGCACCGGCUAACUCCGUGCCAGCAGCCGCGGUAAUACGGAGGGUGCGAGCGUUAAUCGGAAUUACUGGGCGUAAAGCGCAUGCAGGUGGUUUGUUAAGUCAGAUGUGAAAGCCCGGGGCUCAACCUCGGAAUUGCAUUUGAAACUGGCAGACUAGAGUACUGUAGAGGGGGGUAGAAUUUCAGGUGUAGCGGUGAAAUGCGUAGAGAUCUGAAGGAAUACCGGUGGCGAAGGCGGCCCCCUGGACAGAUACUGACACUCAGAUGCGAAAGCGUGGGGAGCAAACAGGAUUAGAUACCCUGGUAGUCCACGCCGUAAACGAUGUCUACUUGGAGGUUGUGGCCUUGAGCCGUGGCUUUCGGAGCUAACGCGUUAAGUAGACCGCCUGGGGAGUACGGUCGCAAGAUUAAAACUCAAAUGAAUUGACGGGGGCCCGCACAAGCGGUGG
rnacentral:rRNA from 1 species